GUUGGGCACAGUGGUACGUGCCUGUAGUCCCUGUUACCCGGGAGGCUGAGGAAGGAGGAUUGCUUGAGCCCAGGAGUUCUGGCUCAUAGAGCACUAUGCCCAUUGGGUGUCCACACUAAGGUUGGCAUCAGUAUCAUGACCUCCUGGGAGUGGGGGACCACCAGGUUGCCCAAGGAGGGGUGAACCAGCCCAGGUCAGAAACAAAGUAGGUGAAAACUCCUGUGCUGAUCAGUAAUGGGAUGGUGCCUGUGAACAGCCACUGCACUUCAACCUGGGGAACAUGGCAAGACCCCAUCUCUA
rnacentral:SRP_RNA from 1 species